rnacentral:rRNA from 1 species
GUCUACGGCCAUACCACCCUGAACACGCCCGAUCUCGUCUGAUCUCGGAAAAUGUCAUCGGUGCAGUAACUUAUACCUCUAUAGUAAAAAUGGGAGAAAUAAAGGCCAGGAACU